GACGAACGCUGGCGGCGUGCUUAACACAUGCAAGUCGAACGGAAAGGCCCUGCUUUUGUGGGGUGCUCGAGUGGCGAACUGGUGAGUAACACGUGAGUAACCUGCCCUUGACUUUGGGAUAACUUCAGGAAACUGGGGCUCAUACCGGAUAGGAGCUCCUGCUGCAUGGUGGGGGUUGGAAAGUUUCGGCGGUUGGGGAUGUACUCGCGGCUUAUCAGCUUGUUGGUGGGGUAGUGGCUUACCAAGGCUUUGACGGGUAGCCGGCCUGAGAGGGUGACCGGCCAAAUUGGGACGGAGAUACGGCCCAGACUCCUACGGGAGGCAGGAGUGGGGAAGAGUGCACAAUGGGCGGAAGCAUGAUGCAGCAACGCCGCGUGCGGGAUGACGGCCUUCGGGUUGUAAACCGCUUUCGCCUUUGACGAAGCGUGAGUGACGGUAAUGGGUAAAGAAGCACCGGCUAACUACGUG
rnacentral:rRNA from 1 species